UACCAGCACCCCGAGUGGUCGGGACGAUUAUUGGGCCUAAAGCAUCCGUAGCCGGCCUUACAAGUCCUCCGUUAAAUCCAGCUGCUUAACAGAUGGGCUGCGGAGGAUACUAUAAGACUAGGAGGCAGGAGAGGCAAGCGGUACUUAGUGGGUAGGGGUAAAAUCCGUUGAUCCAUUGAAGACCACCAGUGGCGAAGGCGGCUUGCCAGAAUGCGCUCGACGGUGAGGGAUGAAAGCUGGGGGAGCAAACCGG
rnacentral:rRNA from 1 species